CAUCCUCUUAGUACAAAUUUGAAGUGUGUACCGUGGUUGUUUAGCAGUUCCGCGAACCGUGGUUGUUUGCCGGAAAUUUGGUUGCCGCCGAUUGCUGUAGUGUGUCGCUCAUCGUGAUUCAUGAUGUCGGAGCAGUACACUGAUUCUUCAAUAAGUUGCAGAAGUAAAUGGGGGUCUACCCUUAAACAUAUAAUGAGGACGAGAAAUGCUCCAAGUGGUUCAUCUAGCCAACAACAACCCAACAAGAAGAGAAUGAAACAAACAGUUGUUGAGGAUGUUGAUGAAGGAAAUGAAGAUAAUAACUACGAUGGGUUGAUUAGUGGAGCAGACAAUGCUGACUAUGUGGUCGAUGAAGAAGAAGACUUUGCUGAAGCUAAUAUUAAUAUAGGUGAUUACGAGGUGGAGUCAGAGUACCAUGUCACUGAACACACCGACAAGAAACGUAAAAUUGUCCCCCCACCACCAAAACAUGUCAGACCUCCACAACCCCCACACCUAAGGUUGUCAGAAGAGCUCGGCGUCCAGUAGUUAUUGAACCGGACCAUUAUGAGUUUGUUGUUCAACAACCGACUUUGACUUUGGGUGAGCAAGUUAAAAAGAAAGGCGUGUUAGUCGCGACACAGCUGAGGAAUUGUAGCUAGAAGCCAGCGAAUUUUAAUUGUCGGAUUGGUGCAUUUACCGAUGUUGUGAAGGCGAUGGGCAUAGAUGAUAACAAAAAACAGUUGUUGGAGGAAAGUGGGUUUGGAGGGUUGCUGAAGCUGCCUUCAACAAAGAUUGAUCGUAGAUUUUGUUAUUGGCUUAUGGCACCCGGAGAAGAAGGUGUUAACGGGAGGAGAUGGAAGGGAGCUUCCUUUAUGCCCCGAACAAUGGAGGUGCAUAUUUGGCCUUCCGCGGGGUCCAAAGCCUGUGCCUGUUAAAGUUCUUAAUGAAGCCAUGCGAGAAAGGGUCGAUCUUAUUGUUCUUUAGUAUGGGGAGAUAAAAGACAAUGUUUGCCAUAUCAAGAUUCAGCAAGCAGUUGAUGAGCUUCCGUUGAUGCUGAUUGCAACUGACUCGGACAGGGAUGAGUUUAUGAAGGCUUUCUUAUUAAUGAUGUUGGGACUACUGCUAUGUCCCACUACGAAUGGUCAGAGUUUGACAACUUAGUUAUUGCCUGCUGUUUCGAUAGGGGCUGCUGCCCGGGAUUAUGAUUGGUGUACUUGUGCACACAAUUGGCUUAUGACUUAUGUCAGAGACUUUAGGAAGAGGCUACACAACAAAGGUUACGCGGCUGGUGGUGGAGGAUGUGUCCUAUUCCUUCAGAUAUUUUACUUGGACCACCUAGCAGUGGCUCCUUUGAGUUGGGGUGUUAUGCCACGAUCGGUGCUGUGGAUUGAGAAGAAACUCCAGCUGCUAUUCAAGCUGAUUUGCUUCCUUCCUUAGACUAUGGAAAACAGAAGGGACAUGUUGUCGCAUCAUCAUCAAGGAGGUCGAUCAGAAAGGCAUUAGGAUAUGACAGUAAGAAGAAAGGUGCAAUAAAAGGACGUAAUUAAAUGAUUAUUCACAGAUUAUUAGUAUUUAUAAUUUUCUGGUGAAAACGAUUAUGUAAUGCCUUUUUAUUAAGGUGUAAUGCCUUAUUUUGAUGGUGUAAUAGCAAUUUUAAGUUUAUUAUGCAA